GUUAAACCAGACAGGACAUGACAGUGGUCCGGAGCUCAAAAUGAUAUAUUAAUUGGCUUUUAAGGAUCAUUUAUCUUUUAACUCAUCAUAAUAUAUUAUGUAAUAUCAACCCUAUUAAUCUCACACCGUGGCCUGUGCAUUAGGUCAAUGGUAAUAGGAUUUGUUGUACUAUAAUAAUUUCAUGCACUUCUUUUCCAUUUCAAACUAUAUGAUAAGCCACAAAUGAGGACUUAAUUUUUCCACCUUUGCUGAAGGCACAUAGAACAGAUAGUAAAACAGAUAGUGGA
rnacentral:misc_RNA from 1 species